ACGUCUUUCGGCUUCAAACCACCAUAAACUCUGCAGCCGACAACUGCUAACUGUUCUGGAGGAUUUAGUUCUGGAGUUUCUGGUCAAGGUUCACCUGCAGCUGGAUUCGGGCAACUUGCAAACGUAGGAGCUGGCCAACAAGGUCUAGGCUCUUUUGGACAGUCUAGGCAGCUUGGGACUGGUCUACCUGGAGGCACUGCUGGCUUUGGCAACACUGGUGUUGAUUUUAGGGGUAGAUCUGCAGCGGCUGCUUCAGGAGGUGGUGGAGGUUUUGCUGCACCAGCCACAGGUGGUGGUGAAGGUUUGCCGCAGCCACAGGUGGAGGAUUUACUGCGGCUGCUGGUAGUGCUAAUGCUGGAGGCGGGUUUAUGUUGACAGGUUCAGGUGGUGGAUUUGGAGCUUUCAGCAAUCAGGCUGGUAGUGGUGGCUUUGGCAGCUGAGAUUCGGGAACGGGAAGACCUCCCUCGGAACUUUUCACAAAGAUGAGGAAAUAGUUUGUAUCAGUAAAUGUGAUAGAAUGGUGUAACAACUCUCAUUACACUAUCCCUUUUUUGCAGACUUCCUUGGAAAUAAGAUACUAUACAUUUUGUAAGCUC